rnacentral:tRNA from 1 species
AUUUACUUAAUAUAACAGUAUAAUUGACUUCCAAUCAAUAAGUCCUAAUAAGGAGUAAAUA